UCAGCUGAGUUAGAAACAUGAGCAGGACUUGGUAGGAAGAUGAGUUGCCCUUCAGCCUCAGCUUUGGUCAGUGACAGCUCCUCCCGAAAACCAAAGCAAACGUAGGGAGCAGGGGAAGGAAGAGCACCUGACUGAAGCGUUCAGUGGUGUGCCUGGAAGGAGCGGUGUGGCUGGCCUUGUGCAGAGGAUGAGAGGAGAGCUCCUGACUGGCUGACCACCCAUUCGACCCGUCUUAUCCUCUAACUGGGCUCCCUCUGGGCAGUGGGUUUUGGUUUUCUUUCAAUGCUUUCUUUGUCUGGCAGCGGUGCUCUGCCUGUAAGGCUGACGAGCCAGCAGAGACCUGCAGAGAUGGGAACUGAAGAGAAGGAAAAUGCAACGCAACUCUCGCAGCACCCAAAGAGGGCAUGUUAGGGAGUAUGCAGGAAUGUUUCAUACCAUGUCACAGGAAGGUCCUGCCUGCAGAGUGCUGAUGAAGCCCGACUUCAAAUGCAGCUUUUACUGUACUCAUUUUUUGCUCUUAAUUCUCUGUCUCUUCAAUAAUGAACAGCAUCCUCUUCACAUCUGCUUCUCAGUCACUGCUGCUGAAUUCAAGAUAUCUCGUGGCUGUGCACAUGCCCUCUGCACUACCUGCUUCUCCCAAGCAAUUACUAAAUAGGAAUCGCUUCACUCAGCAGCUAUUUGUAGGAUACUGAAUAAGCCAAGGAGCCGUGCCAGUUCCUGCUGAGAAUCAGCCAUCAGCUCUUGUGCUGGGGGAAAAUGCUGUAGGAGCUGAGCCCUUCCAGGGGAAAGCUGGCUAGCUGAAGACCUGCCAGCUGCUGCCAAAGCCAACAAGGCGAGCAGCCCUCGUGGGCGGCCGCGAGCCUGUGGGGUCGGCAGUGAGCUCUGCUGGUGGCACAGCACGCUGGGUGCAAACACGGGGGUUCAGCAGGAGCCAGGGGUCUGUCCUGAUUAACACCUUUAACACAUUAAGCACGUUUCCAUCUAGUUUACCUUGCCCGGUUUGCAAAUAAGCCAGCAAUGUCGCACCUGCUAAGCAGCUAGAAUUAUGCAUCAUCAUAAAUUAAACUUUUUAAUUUGCCAACAUUUCUGGCUUAUGCCAUUUAUCAUUCAAAGCCAUCCUUCAGAGAGGCAGAAGGGUUUUCUGUGCUGUUGUUUAUGAAAGGGGAAUCUUCUCCCUUUGCCCUGCUGCACAGGACAAGGGUGUGGGUGCUGGCGGGUCGAGUGCUGGCAUCAGGAGCUGCUCAUCAGAUGGAGGUCUCGUCGGUGAAGUCAUUAAGCCCAGGACACAACGCUGUGCUUUGCACCACAAACCCACUGCAGCUGCUUCAGGCUGAGCAAAUGUUGAUGUCCUCUCUUUGGGUCACCGCAACACCAAGUGAAGCCCACAGCAGCCUUCAGGCAGGGGGGACGCACUGAGGAGCGAGCUGCCUCGCUGCUCUCAGAUGCUCGGAGAAGUCCUUACAAACAGGAGCACGAUGCUCACAUCAGUGAUGCUGUUCCAGCUGAGCAGGCUGGCAUCAGCUACAAACGCUCUGCAAUACAGUGAGGUAAAGUGUCCUUAUGAAGCUGGGUGGUUUUGACCUCCCUCUUGCCUCGAUUCAAGGCUCAAAGCUACUUAACCCGGGAGAUGGGGAAUCAGAGAAGUGGCUAUUUCUGUAAAUGCAUUUCACUGAUGAAGGCCAGGCUUUGAAGAUUGAUAUCUCUCUAAAACUCUUUAAUACCGUGAAUAUCUGUCGGAAAAAAUAUUGACGACUCCGGGUUUUAUGUACAAGAGCAAGGCUGUGUUGGUGCUUCCCAGAAACGAAGUCAGAAAUGUGAGCUUGUCUCAGGUCUGGUAAUUCUGGACCACAAGGGGGUGCUUGCAACGCUUUUUCCCGUGAAAAAAAUAUGAAGUUUUUUUUUCCCUCACUGCCUUUCCUUUAAAAUCAAACUCUGAACACUGCUCAUGGUUUCAAGAAUGGUGGGGGUGGUGGGGGGGUUCUCCUUCCAAACAAGAAAUAAAACUUGGUUGUGGACUAGAAUAGAUGGGGUAGUGGUGUGUGCAGCGGAAACUAUAGUUGUAUAUAGAAAAAAUAAUAUAUAAUGAUAUAUUUUCCAUAUAUAGAAAAAACAAUUUCCCAUGAAAUAAAUAUUCGAAGUCAAAACAUUUUUUUUAAACAAAUCUAUGAAGAAUUGUCUGGGCAGCAAGUAAUAUAAAUGAGUUAAACUAGUCAUAUGCAGUUGCCCUUUUCCGUAAGCAAAAAAUCCAUGUCAAAACAGAUGUAGAUAUAUGUGGAUGUGCUUAGGGUAAGUGAGCUGCAUUUAAAGAACCCCAAAAUGGCAGCACUACACAGUCUGAUGCCAGCAAGAGGAUGAGGGCAAUUUAUGGUACCUUGCAGAGAGAGAGUUUAAUUUGGAUGCUACCCCUUCUUUCCACAAAGCAUCUGCAUAGCUGCUGGCAAAAUACGUCGGGAAGGAGCCAAGAAGAACAGCAGCGAGUGGCAUGAACCCCACAAAGGGAAAAUAAAGUCCACACGCUGUGUGCAGCACAGCCUUUCCUGCCCACUCUCUGCUUUAUGAGGAGCCACCAGCGCCCCUGGGGUCAGUGGCAGAAGAUGGUUUUCCAUGUCUUGGCCUUGCUGCUGUGAUCUUGCUCCCAGGAAUCACCAGGCGCCCUCAGGGGACCUGCAGCUCCCCACGGUCCCCUUGCUGCCCACUGUUGUGACAGGGGAUGUGCCAGUGCUGUGGGUCUGUGCCUCGUCGGCUGCGUCUUGGGUCUGCAGGGCCUGCCCUGCAAGCCUCAGCCAGAU